UUUGCAUCGAUGAAGAACGCAGCGAAAUGCGAUAAGUAAUGUGAAUUGCAGAAUUCAGUGAAUCAUCGAAUCUUUGAACGCAACUUGCGCUCUCUGGUAUUCCGGAGAGCAUGCCUGUUUGAGUGUCAUGAUCUCUCAACCAAUAGGGUUUCUUAUUGGCUUGGAUCUGGGUGUUGCCAGCUUUGUCUGGCUCGCCUUAAAGGAGUUAGCGAGUAAAGCUCUGUCGUCUGGCGUAAUAAGUUUCGCUGGUGUAGACAUGUGUGGCGCACGCUUAUAAUCGCCCUCGGGCAAUUUUUGACUCUGGCCUCAAAUCAGGUAGGACUACCCGCUGAACUUAAGCAUAUCAAUAAGGCGGAGGAACGUGAGGCUGACGAACACAGGGUCUAGGUUUUGAACUCUUGACCUCAAAUCAGGUAGGACUACCCGCUGAACUUAAGCAUAUCAAUAAGCGGAGGAA
rnacentral:rRNA from 1 species